rnacentral:lncRNA from 1 species
GUCAGACAUGCAUAUUUUAAAACUAUUUCUCUACUUCUAUGGCAUGGGGGAACAGAAAUCAAUGGCUUUCUGAUGUUUUUUUUUUUAACUUGAGAGUUUAAGGAAUAUAUUCUAUUGUACUUGAUUCCAAUGUUAAAACAAAAUAAGAAGGAGUUUUAUGUGGCCUGAGUUGGGGAAGGGGAUAGUACAAAAGGAAAGGGAAAGAAUUCAAGAGGGGAAAAAUUCAUCCUGUGGAGUGGGGGUUGAUAAAUGUCAUUCUAUCCCAAAUCAAACAUUUCUGAGUGUCAUUACCCAAGGAAGGCUUGAUGGAGGGAUGGUGAUACUGAUAAUCCACAAGUCUUUUCCUCCUCUGACAUCCUCCUCUUCCUCACUCACUCUUCCCUAUUCCUUUCUAACCCAAUUUUUGGUUCAUACUGAAAAGCCAGUCUGGCAUGGUUUCCUGAAUGGAUCAAGUGUGCCUGAGUUCCAGAACACAUAUCCCCUUGAUAAUAAAGCACCUUCAUAAAAAUUAGAAACAUGGGUCACAGCUCCACAGGUACAUGGUAAGUGAAUGAAGAUGCUGCUUUGUGUUAAUGAGAAAAAUAUUCAACAUCAGUCCUGGUUCUGGAAGGAAACAGAUGAAAUACUCACAAUUACGAAUAAUUGAGAAAAGUAUAAGUGGGAGCUACCAUUUGCAAAGGUGUGGGCACAAUUUAGAAUGGUACAGUAUGCGGGGUUGGCAACAGUGGGGAGCCAUUGUUCUCCACUAACCUUGAGGGACAAGAGGAGAUAGCCCUGUAUUCAGAACCCAACAGGAACAACAGCUUUGGGAGAUGUGACCUUCACCAAAGGGAGUCAAUCAGUGGCCACCCAGAAGGGAGGGAGUCAAGAGAGAUUCUUCCCUUGGGUCUUCUGCCCAUGGCUCCCAUUGGUGGAACCAGCCAUGAGCUGUAGGGUGAGGGACAGAGUCCAUACCAGUCAGCUGUCUGGAGCAUAGAGGAGGGUGAAGGGUGGGGAGUGGAUGUAGGGAAAGAGGCCAGUGAAAAACAUCAGGCCAUCGUGGCCCUUUCUCUAGGAAGAUGUAGUCUAGGCCAGGUACUCCAAAGAGGUGGAACAGGACUUCCUGUCAUCUUUGCUCAAUUUCCUGGGCCACAUUCUUUCUGCAGAAAAAAAAACAUAUAUGACAGCCUGGGGAGUUUUCCCAGCCUUUUCAUAGGUGAGAAUAUUAUAAAAGGAUCUCAUGUCUCAAAAAUAAAUACAGAAAAUCAAAACAACCUAAGUAGAUGCCUCUACCAAAUAUGUCUCUACUCUUCUUCCACUUUGGCUUUAUUUUCUCCCAAAACCUCUUUCUUCUGUUAGCAAAUGGCAUAUCCAUGCACCUGGUCACUGGAGACUGAAACUUGAAUUUCUCCCUCACCUUCUGAGCCCCAUGCCUGGCUCUGCUUAUCAUCAGAUCUGUAAGUGCUUGUUGAAAUGAAAUGAGUUGUAACAAAAUAAGACCUUCCUGGGUUGGCACUGCCUGACUUUAACUGAGUUAAUCUGUAAUCACACUAUGUCUGCUUUAUUAUUUGUGGCAGAAUGUAAUUUGCCUUGCUUUCCUUUCCCCAUAGUCCAUACCCUUUUAAUACAAAGAGAACCCUACUUUUUAGUUCUGAAGGAUUUCUCACCCAACU